AAUAAGUGCAGUUUUGCACUAUUCAUCUCCAACGUUUGACCGUUCGUUUUAUUUGAAAUUUUUUUAUAAUUAUUAUUUUUAUUGUUAUUAGAUGAUAAAAUAUGAAUAGUACUUUAUGUGUGGCUAAUUUUUUUAAAAAAAAUUAUAAAUUUUUCAAAUAAGACGGACGGUCAAACGUUGGACACGUAUUUCCACGGCUGCAGUUAUU
rfam:Oryza sativa Japonica Group DNA, chromosome 4, cultivar: Nipponbare, complete sequence.